GCGGGUGGAGUUCAGUGGUAGAACUCCAGCCUUCCAAGCUGGCUACGUCGGUUCGAUUCCGUCCACCCGCACCA
rnacentral:tRNA from 1 species